rnacentral:rRNA from 1 species
AGAGUUUGAUCCUGGCUCAGGACGAACGCUGGCGGCACGCUUAACACAUGCAAGUCGAACGAGAGAAGAGGAGCUUGCUUCUCUGAUCUAGUGGCGGACGGGUGAGUAACACGUGAGCAAUCUGCCUUUCAGAGGGGGAUACCGAUUGGAAACGAUCGUUAAUACCGCAUAACAUAAUUGAACCGCAUGAUUUGAUUAUCAAAGAUUUAUCGCUGAAAGAUGAGCUCGCGUCUGAUUAGCUAGUUGGUAAGGUAACGGCUUACCAAGGCGACGAUCAGUAGCCGGACUGAGAGGUUGAUCGGCCACAUUGGGACUGAGACACGGCCCAGACUCCUACGGGAGGCAGCAGUGGGGAAUAUUGCACAAUGGAGGAAACUCUGAUGCAGCGAUGCCGCGUGAGGGAAGAAGGUUUUAGGAUUGUAAACCUCUGUCUUCAGGGACGAAAAAAGACGGUACCUGAGGAGGAAGCUCCGGCUAACUACGUGCCAGCAGCCGCGGUAAUACGUAGGGAGCGAGCGUUGUCCGGAAUUACUGGGUGUAAAGGGAGCGUAGGCGGGAUCGCAAGUCAGAUGUGAAAACUAUGGGCUUAACCCAUAAACUGCAUUUGAAACUGUGGUUCUUGAGUGAAGUAGAGGUAAGCGGAAUUCCUAGUGUAGCGGUGAAAUGCGUAGAUAUUAGGAGGAACAUCAGUGGCGAAGGCGGCUUACUGGGCUUUAACUGACGCUGAGGCUCGAAAGCGUGGGGAGCAAACAGGAUUAGAUACCCUGGUAGUCCACGCCGUAAACGAUGAUUACUAGGUGUGGGGGGACUGACCCCUUCCGUGCCGCAGCAAACGCAAUAAGUAAUCCACCUGGGGAGUACGACCGCAAGGUUGAAACUCAAAGGAAAUGACGGGGGCCCGCACAAGCAGUGGAGUAUGUGGAUUAAUUCGAAGCAACGCGAAGAACCUUACCAGGUCUUGACAUCGUAUGCAUAGCUCAGAGAUGAGUGAAAUCUCUUCGGAGACAUAUAGACAGGUGGUGCAUGGUUGUCGUCAGCUCGUGUCGUGAGAUGUUGGGUUAAGUCCCGCAACGAGCGCAACCCUUACUGUUAGUUGCUACGCAAGAGCACUCUAGCAGGACUGCCGUUGACAAAACGGAGGAAGGUGGGGAUGACGUCAAAUCAUCAUGCCCCUUAUGACCUGGGCCUCACACGUACUACAAUGGCUGUCAACAGAGGGAAGCAAAGCCGCGAGGUGGAGCGAACCCCUAAAAGCAGUCUUAGUUCGGAUUGUAGGCUGCAACCCGCCUACAUGAAGUCGGAAUUGCUAGUAAUCGCAGAUCAGCAUGCUGCGGUGAAUACGUUCCCGGGCCUUGUACACACCGCCCGUCACGCCAUGGGAGUCGGUAACACCCGAAGCCUGUAGUCUAACCGCAAGGAGGACGCAGUCGAAGGUGGGAUUGAUGACUGGGGUGAAGUCGUAACAAGGUA